rnacentral:rRNA from 1 species
UAGGGAAUCUUUGGCAAUGGGGGGAACCCUGACCGAGCAACGCCGCGUGAGUGAAGAAGGUUUUCGGAUCGUAAAGCUCUGUUGUUAAGGAAGAACGAGUGUGAGAAUGGAAAGUUCAUACUGUGACGGUACUUAACCAGAAAGGGACGGCUAACUACGUGCCAGCAGCCGCGGUAAUACGUAGGUCCCGAGCGUUGUCCGGAUUUAUUGGGCGUAAAGCGAGCGCAGGCGGUUAGAUAAGUCUGAAGUUAAAGGCAGUGGCUCAACCAUUGUAGGCUUUGGAAACUGUUUAACUUGAGUGCAGAAGGGGAGAGUGGAAUUCCAUGUGUAGCGGUGAAAUGCGUAGAUAUAUGGAGGAACACCGGUGGCGAAAGCGGCUCUCUGGUCUGUAACUGACGCUGAGGCUCGAAAGCGUGGGGAGCGAACAGG